rnacentral:rRNA from 1 species
CAAUAGCGUAUAUUUAAGUUGUUGCAGUUAAAAAGCUCGUAGUUGGAUUUCGGGUGGGACGCAGCGGUCUCGCAUUGCGUUUGUACUGCUGCAGCCCUCCUUCUUGCCGGGGGCGGCCUCUCGGACUUCACUGUCUGGGGGUCAGAAUCGGCGAUGUUACUUUGAGUAAAUUAGAGUGUUCAAAGCAAGCUUACGCUCUGAAUAUAAUAGCAUGGGAUAACACGACAGGACUCUGGCCUAUCGUGUUGGUCUAUAGGACCAGAGUAAUGAUUAAGAGGGACAGUCGGGGGCAUUCGUAUUCCGUUGUCAGAGGUGAAAUUCUUGGAUUUACGGAAGACGAACAUCUGCGAAAGCAUUUGUCAAGGAUGUUUUCAUUG